GCCGCCAUAUCUGCUGCUGCUGCCGCAGUUGCGAAUGCAGUGUUGGGACUUAGCUGCUGCCGCGCUGCCGCUAAGGUUCGUGUCGCUCCCCCUUGCCCCUUCGCUCUUGCAGCCUUACCCCUGGCGGCGUAGCCCGCUCUUUCUGGCGUGUUAAUCCCACUCCCUCCCCGCCACCCAUCAGGUCCUCAGACCAUGGAUCUGGGCAGCAGCAGCAGCGAUUCCGCGCCCGACUGCUGGGACCAGGUGGACAUGGAAACCCCGGGUUUGGCCCCAAGCGGAGACGGAGCCUCCUCCGCGGUGGCCGAGGACCAACGGGAGCAUCUCAGCUCGGCAUUCAGCCGUCAGCUCAACGUCAACGCCAAACCCUUCGUGCCUAAUGUACACGCCGCGGAGUUCGUGCCGUCCUUUCUGCGGGGCCCGGCCCAGCCGCAGACCCCCCUGGCCGACAUCACCAGCAUCGAUGAAACCUGCACCGGCGCGGGCGACCCUCAAGGUAAAAGGCUGGGACGGGAGGCACCUGUGGAACAUUCCAAAGAGGAACAGUUAGUGUGGCGUGAAGGUUCCAAUUCAGCCAUUACUAUGGAACUUUCAGAACCUGUUGUAGAAAAUGGAGAGGUGGAAAUGGUUCUAGAAGAAUCAUGGGAGCACAAUAAAGAAGUAAGUGAAGCUGAGCCAGGGGGUAGUUCCUUGGGAGAUUCAGGGCCCCCAGAAGAGAGUGGCCAAGAAAUGAUGGAGAAAGAGGAAGUGAGAAAAUCUAAAUCUGUGGUUAUGCCCUCAGGUGCUCCUAAAAAAGAACACGUAAAUGUGGUAUUCAUUGGGCAUGUAGAUGCUGGAAAGUCAACCAUUGGAGGACAAAUUAUGUUUUUGACAGGAAUGGUUGACAAAAGGACACUUGAGAAAUAUGAGAGAGAAGCUAAAGAAAAAAACAGAGAAACUUGGUAUUUGUCCUGGGCCUUAGAUACAAAUCAGGAAGAACGAGACAAGGGUAAAACAGUAGAAGUGGGUCGUGCUUAUUUUGAAACAGAAAAGAAACAUUUCACCAUUUUAGAUGCUCCUGGCCACAAGAGUUUUGUCCCAAAUAUGAUUGGUGGUGCUUCUCAAGCUGAUUUGGCUGUACUGGUAAUCUCUGCCAGGAAAGGAGAAUUUGAAACUGGAUUUGAGAAAGGUGGACAGACAAGAGAACAUGCGAUGUUGGCAAAAACAGCAGGGGUAAAACAUUUAGUAGUGCUUAUCAAUAAGAUGGAUGAUCCCACAGUAAAUUGGAGCAGUGAGAGAUACGAAGAAUGUAAAGAAAAACUGGUGCCCUUUUUGAAAAAAGUCGGCUUUAGUCCCAAAAAGGACAUUCACUUUAUGCCCUGCUCAGGGCUGACUGGGGCAAAUAUUAAAGAGCAAUCAGAUUUUUGCCCUUGGUACACUGGAUUACCAUUUAUUCCAUAUUUGGAUAAUAUGCCAAACUUCAACAGAUCAAUUGAUGGACCAAUUAGACUGCCAAUUGUGGAUAAGUACAAGGAUAUGGGUACUGUGGUCCUGGGAAAGCUGGAAUCAGGAUCCAUUUUUAAAGGCCAGCAGCUUGUGAUGAUGCCGAACAAGCACAAUGUGGAAGUUCUUGGAAUUCUUUCUGAUGAUGCUGAAACUGAUUAUGUAGCCCCAGGUGAAAACCUUAAAAUCAGACUGAAGGGAAUUGAAGAAGAAGAGAUUCUUCCUGGAUUCAUACUUUGUGACCCUAAUAAUCUGUGCCAUUCUGGACGCACAUUUGAUGUUCAGAUAGUGAUUAUUGAGCACAAGUCUAUCAUCUGCCCAGGCUAUAAUGCGGUGCUGCACAUUCAUACUUGUAUUGAGGAAGUUGAGAUAACAGCCUUAAUCUCCUUGGUAGACAAAAAAUCAGGAGAGAAAAGUAAGACACGACCCCGCUUUGUGAAACAAGAUCAAGUGUGCAUUGCCCGUUUAAGGACAGCAGGAACUAUCUGCCUCGAAACAUUCAAGGAUUUUCCUCAGAUGGGUCGUUUUACUUUAAGAGAUGAGGGUAAGACCAUUGCGAUUGGAAAAGUUCUGAAACUGGUCCCAGAGAAGGACUGAGCAGUUUUCUUGAUGCCCCUGCACAAUACUGUGAGAAUUGACUAAAGAAGUUCACCAUCUUCUCUUAUUUACUGCCCACUGACAGACUUUUCUUCAUAUUUUGCAAAGAAAUUUCACAGCAAAAAUUCAUGUUUUGUCACCUUUCUCAUGUUGAGAUUUCAGUUAUGUCACUAUUGAAUUACCCACAACUUUCCUCUUUUGCCAUUUUGCUUCCUUGGACAGAACCAGUAAUAGCUUUGUAGGUGAUGUGGGUGUAAUUGUCUAUAACAAUGAAAAAUUAAUAUAUUUUUUAAUUUUUCAUUUUCCCUUAGGAUAUUUAGUCAACCUUUGUUCCACACAGAUCAAUCAGAGUGUGUCAGUGUGAUUUUUAUUU